AUGCAUGCGCGUGCACGCACACAUGAUACACACGUACGCCCAUACGUUCACCUUGCCACGGCCGCAACGCGGCAACGGACAGGCGACUGUCUCGAUCAUCGCGCACACAUGCACAUGAUCACCACCCAUACCGUGGCUUAUUCCAACACUCUCUUCCUAAGCCACGAACUACAAGAGGGCUGGCCCCUCGGCGUCAAUGUCGGCGAGGAGAGCCUGCUGGUUCAUCUUCUUCUUCGGCUUCGUGCACUCCUUCGAGAAGUGGCGGCGCACGCCGCAGUUGUAGCACCGGCCGCGGCGUCUUCCUCCUCCCGUCGCCACGCUCCUGCCGUCGUCGUCGUCCAGUGUGCCACCCUGCUGCCGCUCCCGCGCCCGCCACUGCGCCGCCGUGAACAUCAGCUCGCCGCCUGCCCGCUCGCCGCCCGCCUGCCCACGCCGACGCAGCCGCUCCUUCAGGCGUCCCAGCGCGUCCUCGAACAGCAGCGUCGAGAGGUCGCAAAACUGCUCCAUCCCGGCGACCACCGCGUACAGGCGAUCCGGGACGCAGUCCAGCAGCUUCUUCACCAUCGCCGCGUCGUCGAGGGUCGAUCCCAGCCCGGCGUAGCGCGCCGCCAUGCCACUGAUCUUGCCCGCGAAGGCGUCCAGCGACUCACCGCCGUCCAUCUGCAAGAUCUCGAACUCGCUACGCAACGUGCCCAGCCGCGCCGCACUGACGCGAUCGGCCCCGACGAACCGGGCCUUGAGGCUGCUCCACACCUCCGCCGCGGUCUUCUUCGACGAUACCUGCUGCAGCAGGUCCUCGGCGAGUGCGCCGAGCAGGUAGGCGCGUGCGGGCUUGUCCUUCUUAGCGAUGACGGCCGGCGCCGCGUCCUCCGGCACGACCACCGCCUCCCACAGCCCGGCCACGUCCAAGUUGGCCUCCACCUUGAUCGCCCACGUGGUGUAACUGUCACCAAUGAGCAUGGGAACGGGCGUCGGCAGCGAGCUCCCCGACCCGCCGGCAUACGGCACGAUCGACAUCGCCGGCGAUCACCUCCCGCAACGAGGCUCUAA
rnacentral:rRNA from 1 species